GAAUUCGGCAAAAAGUCGAUACGGGUAUAAUACGUAUAAAAUUUAUUUUUUAAUUUUAAAAUUUGUUAAAAAAAUAAGAUAAUAUAUAUAUUUAAACAUAAAAUUUAUUUUUUAUUCAGAUUUUCAAUAAUUUGUGAAUAAUUCACAAAUUAUUUGACUAGUCAAAAAAUUCGCGAAUAAUUUUCUUUCUUCGGAAAAAAAUUCGUAAAUGGACCGUUUAAUUCGGAUUUUUAAUAAUUCGCGAAUUAACUAACAAAGGUUAGUGAACCUAAAAUUUUGUAAAACUUUAGUAGUUCUAAUGACUAGUUUAAUUUAUUAUUUUCUUACCCUUUUAUUUAUAAAUUUUAGUUAAAAUUUUAUGCCAGUUCUCGAGCUUU
rnacentral:lncRNA from 1 species